rnacentral:rRNA from 1 species
CAGUAGCCGCGGGAAUACGUAGGGUGCGAGCGUUAAUCGGAAUUACUGGGCGUAAAGCGUGCGUAGGCGGUGAGUUAAGUCUGCUGUGAAAUCCCCGGGCUCAACCUGGGAAUGGCAAUGGAUACUGGCAAGCUAGAGUGUGUCAGAGGAUGGUGGAAUUCCCGGUGUAGCGGUGAAAUGCGUAGAGAUCGGGAGGAACAUCAGUGGCGAAGGCGGCCAUCUGGGACAACACUGACGCUGAGGCACGAAAGCGUGGGGAGCAAACAGGAUUAGAUACCCCGGUAGUCCCUGUCUCUUAUAC